GCACAGUGGAGGGGGACUCUGAGUAAGAUGGCCAAAAAUCACAGCCGUAAGUGGCAGCAUUUUUUCUAAAAUCAAUAUACAGAACAACAGGAAUUGGUUAAGAUCAGACUUUUCGUAAUAUACUUAUUCCCCCUCAUG